AGAAGUUUUCCAGGGAGUGAGAAAAACAGGUGGGCUAGCCUCCCCUCCUCUGGGGUUAACAGGAUUGCCCACAGAUCUGGCCCACGUGAUGGUCAAGAAAAGAGGCUCCAGCUGAGGAAAACCCAGGAAAUCUUCUUAGGAACCUUCCUUUCUAAAUGUAAAUGACUGAGUCAUUGCUUUGCUAAGGAGGAGAGGAAGUUGCAAUCACCCAGUGACUCGCUCGCUGCUGUGAGCUCAGGCAGUUGGAUAAAAAGUUUUUAGCAAAAGCGGCAACAAAUCUGCUUUAAAUACUAGCCCAGUAAGGGAAUUCCUCUCUUUCGGGAUGAAUGCCAUCCACACAAAAGAGCUCCUGUUGACAUCUCUUUUACAAUCUCCCCCAGGACACAGACAAGACCUUUUCAAUAAACCCGGCUCAGAAACACCUAUUAUUCAAAAUCUUCCUCUAGCAAGAGGCACUCACCACUCCCUACGGCUUUGCAAAAUAAAAGAUUUAGAUGGAGAAGGAUUGGGACUAGGGAAGCUGUGGAAAGAGGCAGGAAAGAAGUCCCUUUGACCUGGUGUGGUCUGAGAGUGUGCAAGAAGAAGAAAGUUAAUGGUCUUUCCAUUUUUCUAAGUGUCCAAGAAAUGCUGGUGACUGUCUUGGACCAGUGACUGUGGAUUCUAAACUGGAUGCCAACUAGGUAAAGAAAGUAACUCCUGCCAACAGGAUUGCUCAAUGAAAAACCCAGGCCGAACCGAACCUAUUCCCAGCCUUACAAAAGCCCUAAUAGCAGCCCUGGGAAAGCACAGGUAAGUCUUUGAUCUGAGCUGUUCCAUGUAGAAUCUUCUAGCUCAGCUCUCUGCCCACUCUGGUCCGCUAAAUUCCUCUCCAUCAUUUCCACAAGGUGACUCCCUCUCUGAAUAACACUGGAUUAUUUUCUGGAAUUAUAUAUAAUACUGCUCUUGGAAUAGGCCUCAGAUUAAGGAAUCUAUUUGUGUUUACCAAAAAAGUGAAUGAAAGGAAGGGCAUUUUAAAAAUACUCAUUAUCUUUACCCUCCCAGUAGAUGGUCAGUUCACCUUCCCCAGCUCACUACCUGACCUUUUAUCUUUAAUUCCUUGGGUCUUUCUCUCCUAUCUCUUAAGCCCCUCUGGAAUCAUUCACUGUCCUCUUUGUACCUUUCUCUGUCCCUAGAUCCUACUGUGCAUCAUCUCCUGUCUCUGGUGUCCUGGUAACUCCCUAACUCCAAGUUUCUCCAUCUUCGGAGCUGUGACUUAUUAAUGAGUCAUGACAUCAGCUGAGGUGAGUCAAACCGCUUCACCAUGUAGAAAACGAAAAUGAUUCAAUAGGAAACAUUAGCAUGCACCAUGUAGGAAAAGUACUGUUAUGUGUACCCAGAGUGGGCAACAGGAAGAGAGGCAGUUUGUUGGUCAAAAUAUCUGGAGAAAUACCUUUCUCAUUGUUCUCACUGGGUCGACCUUGUCCCUGCUUCCAAACCCUUGUAGACAAUCAGAGCAAUAGUUGGGAAUGUGUCACAGAUCUGUCACUCCAGCUUGCUCUUCUUCCCCCAGGAGAAAGUCUCCCAUCUGGGCCUCAGGGGAUUCCUGCUAACCUGGUUCCUCUUCUCCUUCCUGAGCACUUUUUAAAAGUUAUUCAGUCUACCACAUUCCCUGGCUGUGCACCUGUUCCCUCUGCAGGGACAUUCUUUCCUUUUCUUUCUAUUUUGAAAUCAUCUUAGGUCUCACUGCUUCCAGGAAGACAUCGGGAUCAUCCCUCUGGAUGCCUCUUCUAGUUCUUACAAGGCUGAACUUCACUGACAGAGCGCUUGCUACAUGGUGGUUGUCUCCCAGUUCCCAAAAGCACUCUCAGCCCCGAGGGGGCAUUCAGUAAAUAUCCGUUGUGCAUCGAGUGCUGCAUGUCCUACCUACACAGUUCACAUCUCCUUGCGACAGAUCAAUUUGGAUAGUUCAUUAGAAAGUAUCUUAGCCAGGUGCACACGCCUGUCAUCCCCACGGCUCAGGAGGCUGAGGCAGAAGGAUCCCAAAUUCAAAGCCAGCCUCAGCAACUUAGCAAGACCCUAAGCAACUUAGCAAGACUCUGUCUCAAUGUAAAAAAUAAAGGCCUGGGGUUGUAGAUCAGUGGUAGAGCACUUGCCUAGCAUGUGUGAGGCACUGGGUUCAAUUCUCAGCACCACAUAUAAAACAAAUCAAUAAAGUCCAUCAAUAACUAAUAAAAAUAUUUUAAAAAUUACAACAGACAGGGGAUGUGGCUCAGUGGUUAAGUAUUCUGGGUUCAAUCCCUGUUACAAAGGGAAAAAAAAGUACCUUAUCUCUGUUUCUCAAAAUUUUUGUUUUUAUUUUACACUUCCCCAUCAUCCCCAGUUUAUUUGUGUUUCACAUACAACCUAAUUAAUUUUGAAAUUUACAGAACUCUUAAAAAUCAAAAUAAUAAGACUGGAAGAAAGCUACUGGACUUCUUUGCUGCUAACUCACCCUCCCUUGUCUCAGAUCUUUCAUAUGUAAAUGGAAGGUCAGAACUCAAUAAUCUCUAAAAUCCCUUCCAAUCUAAUACUUUAACCCUCUAACUUGAUUUUUCUCCUUGGGAAAGGUUAAACAGCUUUUUAAUAGCAGGAAAUUAUUUGCCUUUCUAUGGAUUUUUGAAAACAAGCAACAUGUUCCCUGGUAACAUGCAAGGGCAUGUCCCCUCUCUGCUUGGCAUUCAAAAUGUUAAAGAGUAGCCUCACCUAAAUGGUUAAGAUAUUCACUAGUAUGUAAUCUUUCUUGAUAUUGACAGAACCCAGAACAUCUGGUGACACAGAACCCAAAAAGCUUAUCCAGGAAAUAUUCUCACUUGUUUUACCUUUAGAUGGAGAGAUCUUCGAAUUUUAUUUAUUUAUUUAUUUUUGUUUUGAGACAGGGUCUUAUAACAUUGCGCAUCCUGGCCUGGAACUACAGGUGUUAUGGUUUGGAUGUGAGGUGUUCCCCACAAAGCUCAUGUGUGAGAUAAUGGGAUUUGGAACUGUGGCUGCUAUCUGUGGACCAUCGACCUCAUCUGGCUUCAUUGUAAAUCUCAUCUCAUUUUGCUUGGUAUAGUUCUAUUCUAAUGCUCUUGGC
rnacentral:lncRNA from 1 species